rnacentral:lncRNA from 1 species
CGUACAUCUGACCUACAGUAAAGAAGAAAAUGGACAGAAUAAACAUUAGUAACUUUUCCUUCUUUUUUGUUCUUCUGUAGGUCUCAUUCCUGUCAGUUAGACUUCUGGUCAUGUUAUUUCCUGAUGGGGUCACGAGAAUGAAUUAGUGAUUAGACACUCAGGUGCUGGACUCAAAGGGAUCUGGCUCCGUCACAUGCAAACUUUUUGUAAUAUAAGUUCUUGCCUUUGCAAGCACACCAAUAGCACUGGAGUGGAAGCCGGUUGAAGAGAUUGGUAGAAGGGAGCCAAGGAAAGCUCACCAGCGACACGAAGAGGCCACUGGUAUGUACUGUAUCUCAAUUUCACUGCCAAGGACACUCCUUAGUGGAUUAAGCACUAAAUUUAGA